GGCCGCCGUGGCGGGGAUCUUCACCAGCAGGUUGUCGCGGGCCACCGCGGCACGCAGGCGGCGGGCCGCGGCGACGGUGCCGGCCUCGUCGUCGGCCA
rnacentral:tRNA from 1 species